UCUUUUUUUCUUUCAUCGGAUUUCAUUUCCGAUUAAUGUUUUGUUCUGUUUUUUUUUGUCUGGUUUCUUUCUCAGAGUUUCUUUUGUUCGGUUUGAUUGUUCUUUUGUUAUGUUUGAUAAAAAAAAAUCCGAUUUGAAACAGAAUUCUAAGUCUCUAUGCCAAUCUAUUAUGAGCGGUGUUUAAUUUAAUCAGUCGAAGUUUUUCUUACGAGGGAGUAAAAUCACCUUCACUCAAGCUUCCCGUCAUCUUGAUUACUAUCGAUAGAGGAUGUUGAAGAAAUUUAGAAAGCAUGGCCAAGAUAACGAUACGCGACGAUGGUUUCUUCCGUCCGGUGAUGAAGUGCGACGGAGAAAAGUCGAAGAGGUGGACCACUAAUCACGAGAUUCUUGACAUGUCGGUCCAAAAUUUAAAUGGUUUAGUUUAUUUCACUUGCAAUUUUAUUUUGGUCCAUUCGGCUUAUUUUUAAUUUGAUUUUGAGCUAUUGGGCUCCAAUCUAUGUACAAUAUUGCCUUCGUAGGCUUAAUCAAAGCAAAAAAAAAAAAGACUACAAUUUUGGCCUUCUUCUAUAGUGAACAUAUAUAAUAUAACAUUAUUAGUACGUUUAAUUUCAUUAAAUGCAAGUAUAACCAUUUCAAACCAGAACAAUCAAAUAUAUUUUCUGUUCAGAUAACACAUUUUCUCUAAUAAAAAUAUUAAUAUUUCCGGUCUCAUUUAAAAAUACUCGGAAUCGGUUUUAGGAACGAGUGAGUCUGACCGGUCCGACCGGUCGGGUUUCAAAACACUGCAAAUAUGUAAUAUAGAAAAUGUAUUAUAUAUUAUUUAAUAUAUAUAAACUAUAACUUUUAUGAAAAAUAUACAUCCGCGCGGGCGCGCGGGUCAAAGGCUAGUUCCUUUUAAUGUGGAAGUUAAGAGAUAUUGUUGAUUAAAGAUACAAUUUGGGUAUCGUGAUUACUUUACAUAUCAUGUAUCCAUUUCAAUAACUAAAUUAUAGCAACUGAAGUUUGUUUGAACGUUUUAUGAAUGAUUUUAUAAACAAAAGGAUUUGCUGCUUUUAAUUAAAAUAAAAUUCAAAAAUACAAAAUUUAAUUGAAAUCAUAGCUUAAAAAUAAUUCAGUGGCAUAAAAUGGUAAAUACUUCAAAACUCCAAGGAUACCUCAAAAAGGCCAUUCAGUUUUAAUAGUAUUGAUUUUGAGUUAAUUGAACAUAAAAUCAAGAGAAAAUAAAUAAUAUUAUUUUUUGAAAUUAUAUUUAAGAAUAGAUAUAUAUAUAUACAAAUAUAUUUAAAAUUAUGAUUUUCGAUGAAUUUUAUAUAUUUUUGGAUAAAAUUUAUUAAAUCAACUUAUAUAAAAUUAAUAAAAAAUUGAUACAAAAAGUGUAUAAUUAUCAAAAAGUACAAAUAACAAUAUUUCUAAAAUUUGUUGAUAUAUAAAACAAAAUAAUAAUAUUACUAUUAAAAUUUUCUAUUUAAAAAAAAUGUAAAAAGUUUGAAAACAUUUUAGUGAUAAAAAUUGUAUAAUUAUAAAAAUUGAAAUAAAUAAUAUUUUAAAAUUUGUAAUAUAUUAUUAUAUUUCUAUUAUUAUAUUAUUUAAUAUCAUAUUUGAAUAGAUUACUUCAAUGAUGAUGUAUAAUUUACUAAUGUAUUAUAACUUUUUUACCAAAAAUAUAAAUAAAUUUUAAAUGUAAUUGUCUAUGUCACAUUUAGUUUAAAUUUUGUCAUCAUUUAUUUAGUGAAAGUGAAUAUAGAAAGAAUAUUUGUAAAAAUCCAUUUACGAAUAAUGUACAGGGAAUUGUUGUUUUGGAGUUUUUACACAUUUCAAAAGUAAAAUUAGUAUACCAGAAAUAAUCCUACUUUAAUACAUAAUUUUUAGAGAAAAUAAUUAUUAUAUGUAAUAGUUAUCUAUUAAUUUUUGUAAAGAUGUAAAAACUACAUUUAACACACAAAACAAAAUUUUUGUAAAACAAACAACGAUCUUUGUAAAAUGGAGGUAGUGCUUUUUAGAAUGCGUUAGCAGCAAUCCAAACUUCCCUUCACUUAGUGGGUGUUAUUGAAUUUGGUAGUUUAAUGGAGUUUGAUGGAAUUUAAGUCUGAUAUUAAAUCCAAUGUUAUUCAAUUGUGGAAUUGAAAAAAAUGAAUUAAAAUCCAAUGUUAUUGAAUUAAGGAUUUGUCAAAUAGAAUUUGGAAAGAAUUAAAUUCUCCUGUUAUUCAAUAUCCUCAUAGAUUUUAUGAGAAAUAAGUUAUGAUAGAUUUUAAUGUACUUUUCCAUAAAAAACAAGAGGAAACAAAUCCUAACUUUUUUACGUGGAUUUCAAAUACUUCCUGCACCACCAUUCCUUUCUUUAUCAUCCUUCUUCACCACAACUUAUGAUCCUUCCGAGUUCAAACACAACAAAGACGGUGGCUUUAUGGUCUUGGCCAAGUACAUAGGCGUGUUCGGCAAACUGCUCCGGUUGUGACCAAGGAAGGAGGAGGAGAGAAGAAGAAGACGGUGACGAUGCAGUUUCUGUUGCCGGAGAUGUACAAGAAGGCGGAGGAUGCACCGCGUCCGACGGCUGAGAGAGUAGUGAUUAAGGCGGCAGGAGGGAGAAAUUACGGUGUGGUUAUGUUCAGUCAUAUGGUGUUGUUUAUUUGGAUACAGUUGGGAAAAAAUCAUGGAAGUUGUUGAGAUCAAGCAACCACAUCUGGUUGAAGAAAAUAAAAAUCCAUUGAGUUUUUAAACGUUGGGAACCAAAUGUUUGUUCUUUUCAAAAAUCUUCUCCAUAUAUUACGUUGAUUAGUUACUAAACAGAUUUUGUUACCUAGAUUCUCUGAAUAUCAAUGAUUUUUUAUUGUUGACUUGGAAACAAAGUCUAAGCCCAAGUUCGUCAUAGUUCUAAAAUCCAAUUGCUUAUCACGUAAAUAAUUUAUUCCCUUGAUCUUUAUUUUUCUUCUUAUCUUUUAAGAAUCCAAUGAAAUCCAUUAAAAAGAAUCCUAAUUACAGUUAUAUUUAAUUCCACCAAACUUCCCAAUCCAAUACCAGCCCCUUACUUUGCGGAAGCUGGACAACAUUCGCUCCGAAGGAUUAGGCGCACCUGAAAAUAACUCAGCCAAUUUUCCAAGAAUAAUUAUGUUUUUUUUGUCAAUCAAGAAAAUGAAAAACAACUUGCUGUAAAGUAAUCCUACAGAACAUGUGUUAUUUUAUAAAUUAAACGUAUAAUUUUUGGAUUGUUGAAUUAGAUGGAUUUCUAACCUAAAAUUAAUAUGAUAAUUGGAAUUAUUUAUUUAUUUUAUAUAUUACUUAGGAUCUUUUGUAAUUACCGAUAAAGAGAUUUAGCUUCUAUUAUUCCAUCUAAGAUAAUGAUUUUUUAGCGUGAAUCUCAAAAUGUUUGGGCAAAAAUGGAUGGGUCAACUCUGGAUUAGAUCGAUGUGAAUCAGAACUCUUGUAUCAUGUUAAGUGAGAUAAGUUUCCAACCUAAAACCAUUUAAAUGAUAAGUAGAGUGAUCCAUCUAUUUUAUAUAUUACUUAAGAUUUCUUUCAACUACCGAUGCAAGAGGUUUUCUCUUUAAUAUAGAUUAAUAUAUCUCUUUUAUCUCUAAUUAAAUUUUAUGAACAAUUGAUAUAUAUAAUUUUAGUAAUUAAAAAUAUAAAAUUAAUUGAACCAUUUUUUAAAUAUGCCUGAGAAACUUAAAUGACAUCUAACUUGAAGGGAAAUAUUAUGGUAUUUGAGUGGAAGACGGAUAAAAGACAGAGGACACACGUCAGUGUAUGAACCAUAUGCAGUCCAAACAUGUGAACAAAAAUCAUGAACCGCCUACUACAGUAAUUACACAGCAAGGUUAGAGUGUUUUUAGUGGUUUUUUGUUUUUAUUAUUUAAUUUGAUUUAAGAUAAUAUAUGUUGUUUUUUAUAAAUGUAGUGUGCUUCCAAAGAUUUUGUAGGUCUAAGAACUAAUCACCAUGAAAUCUGCAGAAUCCAAGUUUUUUUUAUCACUUAAAGCGUUUCAAGUGCCUAGAUUCGAACCUAGAUGGUAAUACUCACAGUUGUAAACCCUUUACCACAAGAACCAUUUAAAGCUCCGGUUAUAAUAUAUGUCAUUUCUUAAAAUAAUAAUUUGGUUAUGUAAAAUCUUUUUAAAAAAUAUAAUUUUAUACAAAUACAUAAUUUUGGUAAUUAAAUUAUUCAAAUAGUAGAUCAAAUUUAAUUUCAUAUUUUAAAUAUAUACAUAGGUACUGCUUUAUACUAUUAGAACCAUUUUUAUCAAAUCAAAAUAUUAUGUAUUAAAUAUUUUAUAAUAUUUAAACUAUUCAUACAAUUAUUAAGAACAUUUAGCUUUUUAAAAUUUUAGGUCAAGAUUAUAAUUUACAAUAUACUACUUAUUCAUAUUCAACUCAUAUAUAAUUUAUAACUUAUUAAAUUUUAUUGUAUUAAAUAAAUAGUUUGUACAUCAAUUUAUAAAUAGUAUUAAAAAACUAAAAAAUUAAAAAUAUUGUUAAAUAAUGAAUAAUUAUAAAUUUAAUAUAAAUAAUAAUAAUAUUUUAAUUAGUUAUUAUAUUUAUUUGCUUUCUAAAAAUUUAAAUACCUAUUUUAGUUAUGAAAUAUAAAUAGUAAUAUUGUAGAUUUUCUAUAAUUAUUUAAAAUUUGUAUAGUAUUUUAAACUGUUUUAUCUAUUUUUAUCAUUUAAACACAUGUUUUGAACUGCUAGAUCUACUACGUACACAUUUAUACCGUUUGAUCCGCUUGAUUGGCUCAUCUUCCGCUAGUUUUGCAACGCUUACGCUUGAUCUAAUUUUUCCAUUCGAAACCUAUAUCGGUAGUAAAAUCAUUCGGUUAGUUGAGUCCGUCUUUUUCUCAAUAAGAAAUUAAGAAUGAAAGCAAAUUUCUCGAUUGGACUCGUAUUCCUUCUUUUUCUUUUUCAGUAAUCACAACACUACAAAAGUGAUUUAAAAAAAAAAAUAAACACAUGGACUAUUGUAUUUCCAAACAUAAGAUUCGAGCCAAUUAGUAUUGAGAUUUUUUUUUUUUUGAAAAAUAUGAUCGAGUAUUGAGAUCUACACAAAAUUAUGAUCGAGUAUUAUUCGAACCUAAUACACAAUAAGACAAGAUAUUUUAUUUGUUAAAUUUGAUUUGAUUCAUUAUUUAUAUCCAUUCAGUGCAAAAAAUUGAAUAUCUGAAAACUUUUAAAGCAAAAUAAAUAAUAAAACAUCAAUAUUAUUUAAAACCGAAGCAAAUCCCAAAUAUAAAAAUUUUGAGAAUUGAAUGUCCAUUUUGAUCCUACAAAUAUAUACAUACAUGUAUAUCUUGAUUAUAUUUAUAUUUUUAAAUGUAUAAGUUUAUAUAAUUUCCAUUCUAACAUAUUACUUAACAAAUUAUAUUCACAUUAUUACUUGUAAAAUUAUUACAUAAAAAAGAAAAAAAUUGAUGACCAUUAUAAUUCUUUAAAAGUUUUGUCUUAUUAUUAUUAACUAAUUAAAAUUUACAAAACCUGUAAUUUUUCUAUUUCUUCUAAUUUUAUUCUAUAUGUCAUGUAAAAAUGUAUUUUAUAAAACAGAUUUGUAAAUCAAGUGGCGGUAGUUUAGUGUCAAUUUAUUGGGGAUUAAUGUGUAUCCACAUUAGUCAUGAGUUUCAUUCUCCAUAGGAAUUAAAUUAUCAUCAAUUGGUCAGUCUGACCUUGGGCUUCGGUUCAAGUGGUUUACAUGGUGGAUCGUAACAGAUGAUCGGUUCAUCCGCUGAUAUUAGUUGGAAAGUGUUUCAAACUCGGACCAGACAGUGUGGUAGCCAAUCUAUUUUGUAGCACUAAGUGUUUUCUUUCGAAUCCGACCAGAUCAGCCGAUAAGAUUUAUCAAAAAACAUUUGUUUUUAAUUUUUUAGAUUAUUUGUAUUAAUCAAAAUAGAUAAAAAUAUUGAUAAAUAUAUCCGUAAAUAUUUAUUUAUUUUUUAGAUAUCCAACUUUUAGAUAUUUUAUUUUUUAAAAAAAAGAAAGCAAAUAAAAAAAAAUCGAAAUUCUACAUACAAAGUUACAAACAAAUCAUAAAUAUUGAAAAUUUGAUUUGUAUCUACUUCGUGUCCGCGCCUAAUAAACAAUAUAUUUAUUAGUCUAUAUACUCUAUACUAGUUAGGUUGGACAUAUGGAUCGAUAUUAUCGUUCAAAUAUCGAUCAAAGAGUUAGGCACCACCUCACUAGCUAUGUUCACUUUAUACUUUAGACGUGUCAUGAAUAUCGACCACACAAUUACUUUUGUAAUUUGUCAUUUAUGUGAUAAAUUCGUAAACCUUUUUGCAUGGCAUUCAUAAUACGUCAACACACAUCGAAAUGGGCACGCGCCCAGGUAGGCAAAGACGACAUGCAAUCUAAAAUGAGCAGAUAUCUAAUGUAAUUAAGACACGUCUCUUUCUUAAUUUUUUGUGCAAAAGACACGUCUCUUUAUAUAACCAUUGUUUUUCGUCUCUGGUUGAUAUUACGCUGAAUUCUAGCUUACCAAAUAGUCGCCAUCUUCCCUUUUCAGGCAUUUUAUUGAGACAUACCAAAAAAUGUAAAGUAACCAAAUAUUUUGCAACUUAUCAUUUGUGAUUGCGGAUAUAAAUUCAACUGGAAUUUAUUCCUUACACUAGUCGAAUGUUAAUUUUUAUAUUUUUAUAAAUUGUUUGAAAAUAUUUUUAAAUAUAUAAUUUAUUUGAAAUAUUUUUUAGAUUUUUACAAAUUUAUUCAGAAGGAUAUGUGUCCAAACUUCGUAAGAAAUUUUUUUAAUAUCCAACGAAAUUUAAAUUUAAAUUCAAAAUUUUGAUAUCUAAUAAAAUAAUUUGUAUCUGAACGAAUAUCUGGAUGCCUAUGUCUAAAUAAUUCUUUAAACAAAUAAAAAUAUUUAUUAACCGGUUGAAUUUUUGUCAUACAUGAAUCAAUUUCAUUUAAACUUGUAAAAUUGUUAUGGUUAAGAGUAAAAGAAAUGUUAUUGAAAUUAUGGUAAAUAUAAUUAAUGAAAUAAUUAGAAAGAGUAAAAACGUAAAAGAUGUAAUAAAACACUUAAAAUAUGUAAAUUGUAUUUUGUACAUCUGUAAUAAAUGAAAUUAGCUUAUUUGGAAAAAACAAUAAGAAUUAGUUUUAAAAAAAAAGAAAGAAAAAAUGCAAAAAAUCACUUAACAAUAGAUAAAUAUUAUUUUGUACUUCUGUUUUAAUAGAAUACUAGAUUUU